UCGAUGUGUGGUGGGAGGGCGGGAUGAAGCUGAUAAGAGGUUUGCUGGCCUUUAAAAACGUAAGGACGAGCACACAGUGUGCAGAGAGACCAGCAUCAGGACUACAGUUCUUCAGAGUAACCUGAGCCGGGAGCAUCUGUUCUUUGUCUAGCACAGGGGUGCCCAACCUUUUUUGAACCGAGAGCUACUUUUAAAGUUGCCAGUCUGCCGAGAUCUACCUGUCCAAAUAGAGAGGCAUUACUGACAGCCUCCUACCAGCUCCUGCAGCCAUGGCCUCCUGUUCUCCGCUCCUGCUCCUGGUCCUGGUCCUGUGCGCUCUGACAGUGGCUGAAGCCCAGCUCAAGGUGUUUGACCUGCGGGCCAGCAAACUUGAUUCAAGCUUUCUGGGAUCCCCGGAUGGCUAUGUCAAGAUUUUCUACGGAUCUACCCCUCUGGGUGAAACAUCAGUUUCGCGACAACGACCAAAACCCCUGGUGGGAGGAAGAGUUCACUUACUUCCACGCCCGAGAGUAUGGCGUGAUGAGGCUUGAGGUUUAUGACGAGGACUUCGGGUCCGAUGAGCUGCUUGGAGUCUGCCGGCGGAUAAUUAAGCUGGGAACCCAUGAGCAUGAAUGCGUUCUUGAAGAAGGUGGCACCCUUCAUUACACCUACUCCUUCGUCUAACUCAGUCAGUAACACUUCAAAGAUGUAUCCGACCAUAAGUCUUUACAUGCAGCCUUUGAUUCUCUCUCACUGGCUCUGAGAAACAAACAAAUACAUUUGCAAAAUAUGUUGUUCUGGUGACUGCCAUCGAGCAGCUUUGGCUACUCUUCCCUGUUUCAAAGGUGAUUAACAACAAAUAAAGAGUGCUGAACAACUCAA